rnacentral:rRNA from 1 species
GACGAAGGGCUCGACUGUUAUUCGUUUUGAUUGGGUGUAAAGGGUAAGUAGGCGCCUAUCGACAGCAUUUGGUCAAAGCGCGGAGGGUUCCUUUGCGAAAACUAGAGUGUGGGAGGUGGGCUUGUGUUGAAAGGAGGUUUAGGCAAAUUGGUACGUAGGGGUAGAAUCCAUCGAUGUACGAAUGAACGCCAGCUGGCAAAGGCGCUUUUCCUGGUUCAACAGACGCUGAGGUACGGAAGCGUAGGGAGCAAACGGG